UACGAGUGCGUCAAGCGUUAUCCGGAAUGAUUGGGCGUAAAGCGUCCGCAGGUGGCUAUGUAAGUCUGCUGUUAAAGAGUGAGGCUCAACCUCAUAAGAGCAGUGGAAACUACAUGGCUAGAGUGCGUUCGGGGCAGAGGGAAUUCCUGGUGUAGCGGUGAAAUGCGUAGAGAUCAGGAAGAACACCGGUGGCGAAAGCGCUCUGCUAGGCCGCAACUGACACUCAUGGACGAAAGCUAGGGGAGCGAAUGGG
rnacentral:rRNA from 1 species